rnacentral:rRNA from 1 species
CGUGUAGGCGGAUGGGGACGUCGGUUGCUGAAAUCCCCCGGCUCAACCGGGGAACGGGCACCGAAACGCCCCGUCUGGAGGGACGUAGGGGGACCUGGAACUUCCGGUGGAGCGGUGAAAUGCGUUGAGAUCGGAAGGAACGCCCGUGGCGAAAGCGAGGUCCUGGACGUUUUCUGACGCUGAGACGCGAAAGCUAGGGUAGCGAACG